ensembl:lncRNA
CCUAGAUGGGUUUCAGCAAAGCAUUUUUAAGGACAAGGGUGAUUUGGACACAUUCAGAGGAACCAAUGCCAUAUAACUAGGGAGGUGGAGACUGGAGUGAUUCAUCUAAGUAAAGGAGCACCAAAGAUUACUGGAUAUCACCAGAAGCUAGGAGAGAGACAUGAAACAUAUUCUCAGAGUCUCCAAAAGAACCAACCCUGCUAACACCUUGAUUUUGGACUUCAAGCCUCCAGACUAUAAGAAUUGGCUUGUGCAAUUGUGGAGUAGGGUGAGUCCAAAAUCUCCAGGAUGGACUGACAAGCUACAGACCCAGAGAUCUUCUACUGUGGUUUGAAUCUGAAAGCCUAUCAGACUGAAGACCCAAAGAAGAGCUGAUGCUGCAGCUGAAAUCUAAAGGCUGUCUCCUGGCAGAAUUAUCUUUUGCUCAAAAGAGGUCAGUCUUCGGUUUUAUUGAGGCUGUCAACUGAUUGGAUGAGGCCCACCUACACCAUGGAGAACAACUGUUUUACUCAAGGUCCACCAAUUUAAAUAUUCAUCUUAUUCAAAAAAACCCUCAUAGAAACAUCCGAAAUAGUAUUGGAGCGCAUAUCUAUGCACUGUGACCCAGUCAAAAUGACACAUAAAAGUAAUUAUCACACCAUUUGAGCCAGUUUUUCAACUUCUAAACAAAUAUGCUAAGAAUAUAAUGUAUCCUAAGAAUGUAUUGUAAUCAGAGAUAUGG